rnacentral:lncRNA from 1 species
UGACAGAACCUUAAAAAAUCUAUAAUCUCAUAACAAACAAAUGACCAUUGGAUGAACCGUUGAAAUCUACUAAACCUAAAACUAUUCUUAAUCUGUAAUAAACAUCAAAGUACUUGACCUUAUUAAAUAGGAUUGACUAUAAAAACAAAACGAUUCCAUUAACUAAUCAAACUCAUAAACGAGAUACAAAGACAUUCGAAUUACGUUUUUUUGGCAUACAUUGAAUAACUCUAUGACACAUGAGAGGUGUGCCAAAUCUAAGUUACCCACACAGAACCAAAAAACACAAAUUCUAACAUCUAAGCUUUCUUUGGAGAUUUCCUGGCCUUUGAUGGAGACUUGGGAGUUGUAGAAGCACUUUGAGUCUUCUUAGGCAAAAGCACAGGGUUAAUGUUAGGAAGAACACCACCAUGAGCAAUGGAACACCAGGCAGCAAAUUUCUCAACUCUUCAUCAUUCCUCACAGCCAACAACAUGUCUUUGGACUACUGUUCUUCUUGUUAUCACGUGCCGCAUUUCCAGCCAACUCAAGAACCUUCACGCAAACAAAUUUCAAAAUUAGGGUUCAGAUUCAAUUUACAAAGUUCAAACUCCAGUAGCAGUGAAAAAAUGAAACUGAAGAUUGAAAGAGGAGUUAAUUAACCUCAGCAGCAAGAUACUCGAGAACAGCGGCUAGGUAAACAGGAGCACCGGUACCAACACGCUGAGCAUAUCUACCUUUCUUCAAGAAACGGCCGAUUCUUCCGACGGGAAAUUGAAGUCCAGCUUUGACGGAUCUUGUGACAGACUUCUUCCUUGGUCCUCCUCCUUUCCUUCCAGCAGCUCCAACCAUUUUGAAAUUCAAAAACUAGAUUCAAGCUGUUGAUUCGCUUUGUUGGUAAGAAAUGCUGCGAAUUGAAGAUGGUGAGAUAAAAUUGAAUUAGGUGUUGGUUAGGUUUUAUAGUUCCCCGGUAACUAUAAGGAUGUUGCUCUGAAAAACAACUCCACCGUUAGAUUAAUGGCUCGCCCUCACUGACGUGGCGAUCCGUGUCUCUUAAAACUGACCAAUGAGGACUGAUUAGGCGGUCCCCGCUUUUUUUAUUGAAGUUGCCUUUUUGUAAUUUUGUUUUAUUUUUGUAUAGUAAACUAGAGUAGAUUCUUGUAAUGUGUAAUCCAAUUUCUUUUGGAUGCAAAAGUCGCAUCUAGAUAUAAAUCACAUUUUAUUUUAGUUUCUCUAUAUGCAACUUUUGUUAUUUUGAAAAUAACUUUUUUAUGUAUUAUUUUAUUCAAUUUUUAAUAAUUGACAUUAAUAAUAACUAGAUAUCCGUCGGUGCGAUGCACGGAUAUAUUUCUUUAAGGAUCCAUCAUUUAAUUUUAUAAGUAUUAUUUGAAAAUAUUUGACCAAUUUAAAGUGGGCAUUCUCAAUUUGAUAAUCAUUUGUUUACAGUUUUAUCUUGCUAAAAUAGAUUUUCAUACGCAAUCAUCAACUAUAAAAAAUUUCAACUUAACUUUCUUAUUGUACGCUUUUGUUAUUCGUUAUUUUUGUCUUAUGAGAAUAUCCAAGGCAACUAAUAUUUCCUUGUCUAAAUCAACUAAUUCAUCCGAAAUCAUAUUCCAAUAAUGGUCAGAUGAAAUUUCAACUUGUCUUUGAAUUCAAUUUGAUUGUAAGUAAAUCUCGAUAGGCAAAACUGCGUCAUGACCAAACGUGAGUCAAAGUGGAGUAGAGUUAAUUGCCUCUUUAGGGGAAUUUAGACAAGUCCAUAAUACUUGGUCUAAAUUCUUAUGCCAAUUUCAUGGCUUCUAACCUACAGGUCUUUUAAUCAAGCUUAUUUUAAUUUUAUUGGUUACCUCGACAUGGCCAUUCGUUUAAGCAUAAUAGGGAGUAGAUGUUAAAAGUUUGAUUUCUCAAUAUGAAGCAAACUUGACCAUCUUUUGACCAGUAAAAAUUGUACAUUGGCCAGUGGUUAAAGUUUCAGGAAUUCUGAACCAGUAAAUGAUGUGGUUUUGAAUGAAAUUGAUUAUUGUUUCCUGAUCAACGUUGAUCAGAGGAAUAGCCUCGACCCACUUGGUAAAAUAAUAUAUACCAACCAAAAUGUGCAUAUGACCUUUGGAUGAUUUAGGUCAAACUUCACCAAUUAAGUCUAACGUUCAGCCUCUGAAUGGCAAAGGGCUUAACAAUCGAGUGCAACUCACUUGUAGGAACAUGUUGAAUACCUUCAUGUUUUUGACUUAAAAUAAUCUAAACAUAUAAAAUAUGUCAAUCAAAACGAAAGAAAUAACUUCCUAUAACACAGAAGUAUUUCAUAAUUGAGUUUUCUUUGAAUAUCAGAAAGUCUGGUUAUCAGCCUUGUAUCAGAACUCGAUUUGUCGGAACUUAUAUACGCCUGGUCAAAUCAAUUCAGCUUGGUUAAUGCCUUCUGAAAAAGUCUUAACUCUUCAAAAAAAUAUGAUGAACUUAUUCAAAGUUCCCAUAAAAGUUACGAGAGUCAGAAAUAAGAACGUUAAAGGCAAAUGUUUGGGUGUAAAAUUAGAAAUAGGUAUAUCAAAGUCGUAUCACUCUUCUCCCCAUUUGUCAUCAAUCAAAAAGAAAUAAAAUAGACAAAGUAAAAACCAAAUUGAAUUUCAUUUCAUAGAAAAAGGCAUAAGGUACAGAAUCAGAAAUAAUAAAAACUUAAACUUAAGAAAAAUUUAAAAUUAAGGUUUUAAUGAGGGGUGGCAAUUUGGAUAACUUGGCAUGAAGCAUCCAUUAAAUUUUGUUGUUCGUUUCAAUUGGUUCCUUGAACAUCUCAUCUUGUUUGUCCAACCGAGUCCUUAAAACUUCAUUCUCUUGCUUCAACUCUUGCAGAGUCUUCAAAACUAGAGGAAUGAGUUCAGAACCAGAGCCCUCAACUUUUAUGGAUUGAUGUGUUCCAGAAGAUGUUGCAAUUGCAGUUUCUUGAGCAGCAACAGGACCUGCCACUUUCAGGUGCAAAGAGAAGAAGUGUUGGAGGAACCUUAUGAAGCAAAUAUACAAUAUUACUAGAGAACUUGGCAUGGAAGUUCCUUUGAGUAUCCUUUAAUUAAAGGAAUUCCAACUCCCUAGAAUUGAAAUCAAUUCGUCUUAUGAAGUUAUUACACAAAGUACGAACUUCAUAGAGGUUUGCAUUAAAGAUAAUAACUUCAGUGAAAAGGUUCAUUCUAACAACAUCCUCACUUUCAAACUGUAUGAAUAAUUCAUCCAAAACUGUGAGGCGAAUGUUGGUUUGAUGGGGGUUUGGUCAGAAUAAAUAUGAGGUGUUCUGUCAUGGACAACAAUGAUCACAACAUCUGACUCAAAACUCAGAAUUAUUAUAAUCUAAUUCUACAAUGAGAGCGUCAAAGUCAAAGUCAUGGGGCUCUUAGUGAGUGGUGUUCUCUGGUUGUUGGUUUUCAGAUUGAAUUGGUGAAGAAAGGUUUUCUAAUUGACUUAUUUGGUAUAGAUGGGAUAGUGGAAGUUGUGGUUGAGGUGUAAGUAUGAUAAUGGAUAUAAGGGGUUCAGAAAGUGAUGGUAUGGGAAAUGGAAUGGAAUCAUUUGGAUUAAUAGUUUAUGGAGCAAAAACAUUUGGUUCAACAGGAACUGUUUCAGAGAGAACUUGUUCAGAAAUAACUUGUUCAAACUGAGCAGUUUCAACAUGAAUAGUUAUGGAAGUUGUCUGACGAGGAUUGGUUAUAAAACCAAAAGUAUUUGGAUUUGGGGUAUGUGAAAGAAUAAUGGUAGAUGUAAAUGAUGAACUGUUAUCAACAGGUUGAAAUUGAGUUUCAAAAGGAACAGACUUACUUGAGACAAUUCCAGCAAAAGGAGUAGCAAUUGCAGGUAUGGGUUCUUCAGCAGGAGUGUCCAGAGUCCUCCUAGCAGAACUAGAAGUCUUAACCUUCUUAAAUGUUCCAUCAGAAUACUUCUUAGAACUCUUCAUCUUCCUUUAGAAAGAGUUUCAAAAGCUUUGUCCUGAGCACCUUCUUGAUAGCUAGCAAGGUAAUCUAUUAGAACAUUCAGAGGAUCUUGCUUUGGGAAGAUUGGAAAGUCUUCUAAAGGGAUCCUUAUGUUGGAGAUAGCUUCCUUUGGAACUUCAACAUGGUUGCUUGUCAAUUACGAUAUAAUGGUCAUGUUCUUCAGACUUAUGGCAUUGAACAUCUUUCUAACCUGAGGUUCUAACUCUUUUGUGAUCUGAGCUUUUCUUAGAGAGUUUAUCAACUUGCUUUCCAUCAGAAUAUUUGAUAUCAUUCUUCCAAGGGGAAUCCAAAACCUCUUCUUCUUGCUACCAUCUCUGGUUUCCAUCACCGUGUCCCUUAGGUAUUGAAAGAGAAGUGAAGGGAGAUUCAUUUUUUCCUAGUAGUAAUAUAGUAGGGAACAUAUUGUUGGUUAUCAUUGAUGUAGUUUGCAGAAUUCGUUUGCUUUCUGUGAUGAACACACCCAAGAAGAAUUAUGUCUCUCACGGGCGACGUAUAUUGGUUCCUUCUCGAGUUGUCAGCACCGGAGGUGUUCUUUUUUGUGUUACAGACCUUCCUCACAACAUUAUUUUCCUCGCCCUUAAUGUAGCAUUAUGCUCACGUCACUACCUUAACCAACAUCGUCAUCGAUCUUUGGGCAAAGGAUUCAUUGAAAUGUCUCUAUCUAAUAUCAUUAUGGAACUCUCCUGCAAACAUUUCCUGGUUAGGGUGGAUCACUUUGAUGGUCGUCUCAUUGAAGCGGAGAAGAUAUUCCCUUAAUGACUCUGAUGGACCCUAAUGGACCCUGAUGUAUGUUGAACAGAUCAAUGGUAGUUAGCUUAUGGUGCUUGCUUGUGGCGAAUUGAUGAAAUGAAAUUCCCCCAUUCUUUUUUUUUUAAAUCACUUGGAUAAUCUAUCAUAAUAUUACAUUUUAUAACAAAGAAAAACAUUAAGAUUUAAUUUAGUAAAAGCAAAAUUAUUUCAAAUUGAGUGUACAAUUAUUAGUUCAUGUUUCAAUUAUUUCAAUUAUGUUCUUUCUUUGUCGUUAAAUAUACUAAUUUCAAUUAUCUUAGACAAUGUUAAUUUUUCAAGAAAAGAGAAUUAUAGGCUAUAAGAAUUAAAUAUUACAACAUCAAAAAAAAAGCUACCAUCAAGCACAAAAAUAUAGUAAUCAUAAGCAUGGUACAAAAUUUCAUGUUGCAAAGGCAAAACGUUCGAACAACAUUUGAAAUCUACUACAGCUUAACUAUCGCUAAUCUGCCAUUUGCAAUUAACAUUUGAACUUAAUAAACAACAAAAUAAUAAACAAAAUGUUUUCAUUAAUGAGUCAAACUCUUAAACGAGAGACAGACAUUCGAAUUACAUUACUUGGAAUACAUCAAAUAACUUUUGCCACACGAGAGGUGUGCCUAAUCUAAGGUAUCCACACAUCACAAAAUGGAACAAAUAAACCACAAUCUCUAAGCUUUCUUUGGAGAUUUCCUGGCCUUGGAUGGAGAUUUAGGAGCAGGAGCAGAACUUUGAGUCUUCUUAGGCAAAAGCACAGGGUUAAUGUUAGGAAGAACACCACCAUGAGCAAUGGUAACACCAGCAAGCAAUUUUCCAAGCUCUUCAUCAUUCCUCACAGCCAACAACAAAUGUCUUAGUAACACCAGCAAGCAAUUUUCCAAGCUCUUCAUCAUUCCUCACAGCCAACAACAAAUGUCUUGGACUAAUCCUGUUCUUCUUGUUAUCACGUGCCGCAUUUCCAGCCAACUCAA